ACGAACGCUGGCGGCGUGCCUAACACAUGCAAAGUCGAGGCGCGAAUGGAAGCAAUCCUAGUAGAGCGGCGGCACGGGGUGCGUAACACGUGGAUAAUCUGCCUGGGUGGUCUGGGGAUAACCAGUCGAAAGACUGGCUAAUACCGGAUAUAAGACCACGAAUUCUCUUCGGAGGGCUGUGAGGGAAAAAAGGUGGCCUCUGUAUACAAGCUAUCACAUCCAGAUGAUGUCCGCGGCCCAUCAGCUAGUUGGCGGGGGGUAAAUGGCCCACCAAGGCGACGACGGGUAGCUGGUCUGAGAGGACGAUCAGCCACACUGGAACUGAGACACGGUCCAGAACUCCUACGGGAGGCAGCAGUGGGGGAAUUUUGCGCAAUGGGCGAAAGCCCUGACGCAGCAACGCCGCGUGUGUGAUGAAGGUCUUCGGAUUGUAAAGCACUUUCGACCGGGACGAAAACCCCUAGCCUAACACGCUGGGGGCUUGACGGUACCGGGAGAGAAAGAAGCACCGGCUAAACUCUGUUGCCAGCAGCCGCGGUAAUACAGAGGGUGCAAGCGUUGUUCGGAAUUAUUGGGCGUUAAAGCGCGUGUAAGGCGGGCUUUGCAAGUCGGGUGUGAAAGCCCUCAGCUCAACUGAGGAAGUGCGCCCGAAAACUGCAGAGUUUGAAGUGCCGGCGGAGAGGGUGGCGGAAUUCCCCAAGUAGAGGUGAAAAUUCGUAGAUAUGGGGAGGAAAUACCGGUGGCGAAGGCGGCCACCUGGACGGUAAACUGACGCUGAGACGCGGAAAAAAAGCGUGGGGAGGCAAAACAGGAUUAGAUACCCUGGUAGUCCACGCCGGUAAACGAUUGAGAAACUAGGUUGUCGUGGGUGUUGACCCCCGCGGUUGCCGUAGGCUAAACGCAAUUAAGUUCUCCGCCUGGGAAGUAACGGUCGCAAGACUAAAACUCAAAGGAAAUUGACGGGGGCCCGCACAAGCGGUGGAGCAUGUUGGUUUAAAUUCGACGCAACGCGCAGAAACCUUACCUGGUCUUGACAUCCUUGGAAUCCUUCAGAGAUGAGGGAGUGCCCGCAAGGGAACCAAGAGACAGGUGCUGCAUGGCUUGUCGUCAGCUCGUUUGUCGUGAGAUGUUGGGUUAAGUCCCGCAACGAGCGCAACCCUCGCCUUUAGUUGGCCGCGCAAGCGGAUCUCUAGAGGGACUGCCGGUGUUAAUAAACCGGAGGGAAGGUGGGGAUGGACGUCAAGUCCUCAUGGCCUUUAUGACCAGGGCUACACACGUGCUACAAUGGCCGGUACAAAGCGUUGCCAACUCGCGAAGGAAGGGAGGCUAAUCGCAUAAAUAAAACCGGUCCUCAGUUCAGAUUGGAGUCUGCAACUCGACUCCAUGAAGGCGGAAAUCGCUAGUAAUCGCAGAUCAGCACGCUGCGGUGAAUACGUUUCCCGGGCCUUGUACACACCGCCCGUCACACCAUGGGAGUCGAUUGCUCCAGAAAGUCAUCCCACCAAGGGGUGCCCAAGGAGUGGGUCGGUAACUGGGGUG
rnacentral:rRNA from 1 species